CACGGCCCGGGGGACCCAGGCGUCCCGCUCCUCGCCGGGAGCGCCCCUUCCCCCGAGUGGCGCCCCAGCCGUGGCAGCCUUAGCCCCGUGGGCCCCACGGAGUGAGCGGCAUGCAGCACCCCCGGGCCUGCCCAGUGUCCUCUGGCCUGCUGCCCUGCACCCCCAGAAGGCCCUGACGCCCUGGGGCACUUCUGCUCUGCACAGGACCACGCGGGGGUUUGCCAUGGUGACAUAAAGGGGCGCGGAGGAAGGAAGGAGCGUGACCAGCCUGUGGACUGCGCCCCUGGCUGGGAGGAAGGACUGGGGGCCCAGAUCCUCCACUCCCAGUGCCCCACAAGGGCGUCGCUUCCUAAGUCUCUGUGAAUUUGUUGGUCAGUGGACGAUUCUCGUGUCUCCUCCUGUGUGGGGCCUUGGGGUAGCCAGGGCAGGCCGGGCCU
rnacentral:sRNA from 1 species